rnacentral:lncRNA from 1 species
CCGCUGCCCGAGUCCCUCUUGAAAUGGGCAGGGCAGGGAGGGCGUGGGUACCAGCGCAGGUGCUGGGGUUCAUUUCUUAGGCCUGUGUCAUGGCUAUGACCCUUGGCCGGCUGGGGUGGGGGCUGUGUCUAUGACGCCACCAAGGCCCUGGGUGUCCCCGGGGUCCCUCGGAAUAGGAGGUGGAAACGGGUCGGACAAGAGCUGGCCGUGGGGGAAGAGCAAUGGUGUGCGGAGGUGGGGGAGGCCCUAUCUAGGGACAAGCAGAAAACUUAGGGUGGGCAGAUCCCCCCGACCCCUGUGCAGGGGCUGCCGGAGACCAGAGAGGCUGCUGUGUGACCUGGACCAAGCCCCUUGCCCUCUCAUGCCUCAGUUUCCCCUUCUCUCCACGGAGGGAUUGAGCAGGACAUGGAGGGCCCCUUCCAGUAGCCAUUCUGGGACUCCCUGCACCUGUCCCCAGGGGAGGGUCCUGAGCUGGCCUCCACGUGGCUGCUGUUCCCCAUAGUGGAACCUUGUGUGUGGAGACGGCUGGAAGGUCCCGCUGGAGCAGGGUUCAGCUAGACCUGGUGCUGCCAGGAUGAAGGUUGGACCCUGGGUUAUCCUGACCCUGUCCAAGCAUGUCCCCCGCUGCCCACCAGGUUUGGACGCCGGGCAGUUUUUGUGGCCUCCCUGGUGCUGACCACAGGCCUGGGGGCCAGUGAGGCCCUGGCUGCCAGCUUCCCUACCCUGCUGGUCCUGCGCCUACUCCACGGGGGCACAUUGGCAGGGGCCCUCCUCGCCCUGUAUCUGGCUCGCCUGGAGUUGUGUGACCCUCCCCACCGCCUGGCCUUCUCCAUGGGGGCUGGCCUUUUCUCGGUGGUGGGCACCCUGCUGCUGCCCGGCCUGGCUGCGCUUGUGCAGGACUGGCGUCUUCUGCAGGGGCUGGGUGCCCUGAUGAGUGGACUCUUGCUGCUCUUUUGGGGGUUCCCGGCCCUGUUCCCCGAGUCUCCCUGCUGGCUGCUGGCCACAGGUCAGGUAGCUCGAGCCAGGAAGAUCCUGUGGCGCUUUGCAGAAGCCAGUGGCGUGGGCCCCGGGGACAGUUCCUUGGAGGAGAACUCCCUGGCUACAGAGCUGACCAUGCUGUCUGCACGGAGCCCCCAGCCCCGGUACCACUCCCCACUGGGGCUUCUGCGUACCCGAGUCACCUGGAGAAACGGGCUUAUCUUGGGCUUCAGCUCGCUGGUUGGUGGAGGCAUCAGAGCUAGCUUCCGCCGCAGCCUGGCACCUCAGGUGCCGACCUUCUACCUGCCCUACUUCCUGGAGGCCGGCCUGGAGGCGGCAGCCUUGGUCUUCCUGCUCCUGACGGCAGAUUGCUGUGGACGCCGCCCCGUGCUGCUGCUGGGCACCAUGGUCACAGGCCUGGCAUCCCUGCUGCUCCUCGCUGGGGCCCAGUAUCUGCCAGGCUGGACUGUGCUGUUCCUCUCUGUCCUGGGGCUCCUGGCCUCCCGGGCUGUGUCCGCACUCAGCAGCCUCUUCGCGGCCGAGGUCUUCCCCACGGUGAUCAGGGGGGCCGGGCUGGGCCUGGUGCUGGGGGCCGGGUUCCUGGGCCAGGCAGCCGGCCCCCUGGACACCCUGCACGGCCGGCAGGGCUUCUUCCUGCAACAAGUCGUCUUCGCCUCCCUUGCUGUCCUUGCCCUGCUGUGUGUCCUGCUGCUGCCUG